rnacentral:rRNA from 1 species
AUGAAGAUGUCUGGCCUUCCGACGAUCAACUACAAUAAGUACAUCGACAUUCGGCGCUUCUGGAGAGUUCCAUACACCGGAAAAGAGUACGACUCCUUGACUGAUGUUGCAGCCAACGUCUUCCACCCAUUUCACCCAGGCAUGAAGAAGAACAUCGACACGCAGGAAGACCACAAACUGUUGAAGACAAGCUCAUCGAGUACGCAGGAACAGAUGCGUAGACCACGUACAAGUCAUGGAACAUGA